rnacentral:rRNA from 1 species
CCUACGGGAGGCAGCAGUGAGGAAUAUUGGUCAAUGGCCGGAAGGCUGAACCAGCCAAGCCGCGUGAAGGACGAAGGUGCCAAGCAUUGUAAACUUCUUUUGUCAAGGGACAAAAUCAGGCUCGAGAGCCUGACCGAGGGUCCUUGAAGAAAAAGCAUCGGCUAACUCCGUGCCAGCCGCCGCGGUAAUACGGAGGAUGCGAGCGUUAUCCGGAUUUAUUGGGUUUAAAGGGUGCGUAGGCGAACUGUUAAGUCAGCGGUAAAAGCCCGGGGCUCAACCCCGGCGAGCCGUUGAAACUGGCUGUCUUGAGAUGUCGAGAGGUAUGCGGAAUGCGCAGUGUAGCGGUGAAAUGCUUAGAUAUUGCGCAGAACUCCGAUUGCGAAGGCAGCAUACCGGCGGCGAUCUGACGCUGAGGCACGAAAGCGUGGGUAUCGAACAGGAUUAGAUACCCCAGUAGUC